GGCGUCUUCUUUGUUAUAUUUAACAGGAAAUAGAUUAAAUUUAAUUAGAUAGAAAUACAUCUACGAUGAAGUGUAUAUUUUUAAGCUUGCUUGAAGAAUAAAUUUCUGCAUGUGUAAAUUACUUUAUGGUAUUGUAUUCGUUUUGGAGAAUAGAAUUAAGAAGACGUAAUGGAUUUUAGUAAGCGAUGGAAUAUAGAAGAUCCAAUGGAUUUUUUAAAAUAGUAAUGGUGGAUCAUGAGGAACCCAGUUUUAUUGACUGAAACUUAUUCUAUAUCAUGGAUUGAAAAUGAUUAAUAAUUUGAGUUUAGAUAAACUCGGUAAUCACGUAAGCACAUUUUAGCUGUAAUCGUAAUCUCGGUUCAUUGUUACGGAUUCAAAACAAAUUAACAGUGACAUCCACUCGAUCCAUUAUCCAAUUUUAUAUUGUGCGGUUUUCAUAAAGGGAUUGAGAGGAUUUUUCGAUAUAAAAACGUACGAGAUUUAGUCGUUCAUCCUAAUAAUUUAUCCGGGAUCGAAUAAACGGUUUAAUUGAACUUAAUUCAACAAUCAUGUCGACCACUCUACUGGACAAUAGGAUUCAAUUUAAAUUUAUGGUCGAAAAGUCUCUUUGGUCAGUUAGUUAGUGCACGUCGCAGUAUCAGAAGAUGGUCGCAUGGAAUUUAUUAAGUUAAUCCCGCCGCAAGUUUUACUGAACUUUGAAAGUUUAAAGAACUAAUAAACUCCUAUUCGGAAUCUAAAAAGUUCUUUAUUUUUGAAAUAAAUAUUUUAACGACUUUUGAGGAACUUUUAACCGUGAGAAGCUCCUGAUAUCCCUAUUUAUAAAGUCAGAGAGCCAAUAAAAUAAUCCAGCGAAGAGAACUGAAAGCUUUGCUGAUCUAAAAUUUGCUGUAGUUGGAAAUUGUAAAUUUCUUUUCCACUUUAACAACCGUAUACUAGUAGCAUUCAUUUGUACUUAUAAGCAUUCAGUUUAAUAGAACGCACCCAUAUCUUUGACGAAUAUUUGACGUAAGGUGUCGCUUGUCAUUUACUAGCGCCAAAAUCGAAUUUUUCACGCCAUACAGAAUUUUGCAACUACCAUCGAUGGUACGUAGAAUUACAUAAGCGAUAAUUCGGCCAGUUUGCACAACAAAUGACACACAGAAACUUCCAUCGGUUUAUACGCGGCCUUAAAAAGCAUUUAAAUCCAAUAUUUGUCGCAGAACUUUCUCUGCGAGGCCACCCGCACGCCAUGAUAUUGCACGUUUUAGUGCAAAAAAAUUGAAGCAUCAGCUGGCGUCUUAAAAAAAAUCAAAUUUGACAAGUCACGAAUUCAAUUGAAGAUAUUUGUACUGUUAAAAUGCCAUUCAUAAUCAAGUUGGAAGACAGACAGCAAUUCUGAAUGAGGUUCAAUAUCGAUAUCUUCAAAAAUAUUAAAAUUACAUUGGUUUUCGUCCUCAAGAAUUUUGGGCAUCACAAUAAAAUUGCAUCUGUAUAUUCACAUUGUCUUGGGCAUAAAAGAAAAAUUUUCUUAAAAUUAUAUUUGUUAAUUUAUGGUAAUACUUACGCCAACAUUAAAUUUUCAAAGAUGGCGGUUUUAUAGAAGAAAUUGAUAUUAGAUCGGUGAUAUGGUUAGGGUUUAAUGAUAACUAGAUGACUUGUUGAGUAAUGUUUAUUUCUGACUUGAAA
rnacentral:lncRNA from 1 species